rnacentral:rRNA from 1 species
AUGAAAGAUUUGGGAAAGACCAAAUUUUGCUUAGGCAUACAGCUUGAGCAUCUUCCCUCAGGAAUUUUAGUGUACCAACCUGCUUAUAUGCAAAAGGUUUUGGAAAAAUUCAAUAUGGAUAAAUCAUAUCCAACCGAAACACCCAUGGUUGUCAGAUCCCUUGAUAUGAAUAAAGAUCUUUUUAGACCUCGGGGUGAUGACGAAGAGAUAUUAGGACCUGAGUUCCCGUAUCUCAGUGCUAUUGGUGCGCUAAUGUACCUUGCAAAUUGCACCAGGCCUGAUAUUGCAUUUGCGGUAAAUUUACUAGCUAGACAUAGCGCUGCUCCAACAAAACGUCAUUGGACAGGAGUAAAGAAUAUCUUUAGAUAUUUACAUGGCACAAAAGAUCUUGGCUUAUUCUAUCAAAAAAACCAAGAUAUGACUAUGGUAGGAUAUACUGACGCUGGCUAUCUAUCUGAUCCUCACAAUGCUAGGUCACAGACAGGUUUCGUAUUCUUAUAUGGUGGAACUGCUUUUUCAUGGAAGUCACAAAAACAGACUCUCAUGGCAACUUCCACUAAUCAUUCUGAAAUAAUUGCAUUAUUUGAAGCAUCAAAGGAAUGUGUAUGGCUUCGCAGGAUGAGUAACCGCAUUCAAACUUCAUGUGGUAUUGGUUCAUUAGGAUCACCAACUAUUAUUUAUGAAGAUAAUGCAGCUUGCAUUGCUCAAAUGCAAAUGGGUUAUAUUAAAAGUAAUAUCACAAAACAUAUUUCUCCUAAAUUGUUCUUUCCACAUUCAUUACAGAAAGAUGGAGAAAUUGAUAUUUUGCAAACCAAAUCAUGUGACAAUCUAGCAGAUUUGUUCACAAAGUCUUUACCAAAUUCAACAUUCCAGAAAUGUAUUCAUGGGAUUGGUAUGAGAUGCUUUCGGGAUUUGCAAAUUUCAGGGGGAGAAAACUCCUAG